rnacentral:rRNA from 1 species
UGAACGCUGGCGGCGUGCCUAACACAUGCAAGUCGAAUGUGCCGCAAGGUGCAUGGCAGACGGGUGAGUAACGCGUGGGCAAUCUACCUUUUCGUGGGGAAUAACGAUCCGAAAGGAUUGGUAAUACCGCAUGAGACCGAUGGCUGGGAUGCUGUCGGUGAAACCUGGGGACCGCGAGGCCUGGGGCGAGAAGAGGAGCCUGCGUCUGAUUAGCUAGUUGGCGGGGUAACGGCCCACCAAGGCUUCGAUCAGUAGCCGGCCUGAGAGGGUGAUCGGCCACACUGGAACUGAGACACGGUCCAGACUCCUACGGGAGGCAGCAGUGGGGAAUUUUGCGCAAUGGACGAAAGUCUGACGCAGCAACGCCGCGUGGGUGAUGAAGGUCUUCGGAUUGUAAAACCCUGUCGUCGAGGACGAAGGUGGGGGCGUUAAUAGCGCUUCUGCUUGACGGUACGCGGAGAGGAAGCCCCGGCUAACUCUGU